UAUGGGAGAAUCAAACCGGAUCAAAAACGGCAGUCUCAUGCUGAGUAUCCUGGUGUGCCUCCAUGGAUUGCCCACUUGGAUUCGUAAAUACCAUGACUGGGAUGAAGGGGAAGCAAGUUGAGAUAGGAUUCAACAUGGGAAGAUCAGAUUGUGGAUUAGAUCCUUCUGGGAAUCUUAAUCCAAUCCAAAUUGCUAAGAAUACAGAAAAAUUUGCAGAAGAAGAAAUAGAGAUUGUGAUGGGAUACGAUGAGUUUUUGGUUAGAGCGCAGCGUCUUUAGGAUUAUUAAGAAAACAAACGAAUAUAAAGUGAUGGAAACUCAAAAGAUACUUACAAUUAUCGAUUUAGGUUUUAUUUUCAUAUUUUGUUUUAAAUGAUAUGGUUCUAGAACAAAUUGUGAUUGGCUGAUUUUUUAUGCCUACGUGGACACCAUAUAUGUUGAGUAUAUUUGGCUUUUAGUAUUGUAAGAUUGCUACUUGGUUUAUUUUUUGGAAAAAAUGGGAAAAAAAGGACAUUCUCAACUUAGAUUUGUUUCAAUGGGAUUUUUAGAAGAUUAUUUAGGAAAAUAAGAUUUUAAUUCUUGUAAAUACCAUAAUACCCUUAAAAUAAACCAAUUAAUAUGAAUUAUAAUUAUAACAAUGAUUUUCGUAAUUGAUUUAGAAUUAAAAAUAAAAAAAAAGGAAAAAAAAGAUACGGUUGAGGUAAAACCCGUAAAGUUGCCCUAAUUUUUUUUUAAUCUUCUUUUCUCUGCCGUAACUCUUGACUUCAUCCAUGGCGGUUUAGGGUUCUUGGAAAAUCAUUGUUCUUAAUCGGUGUUUCGUCAGAUGGUUCGUCUUUAAUCUCGUUUUCGUCAUCCUCCUCUUCGUUCUCACAUACGAAAAAACGAAAUCGUACGAGUUUCGACGGUUCAUUACAAAAUCAAAGUGUUCUUAGAUUAAUAAGUUCUUGAGUUAAGAAACUUAAUAGUUUUAAGUGUGUUUGAAUCUUGAAUUAUAAUCAUCGCAGGAGCCGAGAGUUCCUCUGGCAAGGACACACUGCUCACGCCACAAAAGAAGACGCAGAUAAAGAGGUUCUUGAGGCUUUGGACCAUUACCGUCACAUUUAUGAAGAGUAUUUUGCAGUCCCAGUUGUAAAAGGUAUGAAGAGUGAGAAGAAGUUUGCAGGUGCACGUUAUACCACAAGGGUAGAGGUAAAAAUUACAUUUAAAAACUUGGACUGAUGUAUUAAGAAGUUGUCACGUAAUCUCUUUAUUUACAAAUCAGUAAAUGCGAUUAUGUUUUAGGCUUUCAUACCAGAAACUGGUCGUGGUAUACAAGGUGCAAAGAUGUUUGACAUCACAUUCACAAAUAAAGAAGGAAAAAAUAAAAGGUGUGGCGGAAUUCUUGGGCUUAUAGUGCCAGAACGGUAAGAAAAUCUUGAAAAUCCUUUUUUAGUUUUGUAUAAAAGUAUUUGUGCUUGCUCAUAUGGAACUUACUAUUGAAGUUUCUAACAUUUGUUUUGAAGAUUGGAGUGAUGAUAUUGACUUAUGAAGAUGACAAAGGAUUGGUGAAUCCCCCUAACGUUGCACCAAUCCAAGUCAGACUCAGUGAGGAAGGAAAUGGUCUUGAUGUCUGUGAUAACUAACCAAGAUUGAGCUUAACCGAAGUUUGUGAUAGCUUUGAUGCAAGGGUCUUGAUGUGAUCAAGCAAGCUCAAUCUGGAACAUAAAGACAGCUAUGAAAUUAAAAUCUGGCGUUUUGCAUCAGCUUUUACACUCUUGUUCAGUGCCAAGCUUUUGUUUUUACUCCUACCAUGUAAUGUUAGCUCAUUGCAGCCUUGAUUCACUUUUUUUUUCCAUAGCAUAUUGUUUAAGUUGUUUGCAUGAAGUUGAUCUUGAAUGUUUGUCUUGCUUUUCUUGUUGGCAUGAAGUUGUUUGACGUCUUCACACAA